CAAGUUUGGAUGGUGAGAAGAGGUGUCAGGGAGGAGAUAACAAGUUUGGAUGGUGAGAAGAGGUGUCCGGGAGAAGAUAACAAGUUUGGAUGGUGAGAAGAGGUGUCCGGGAGGAGAUAACAAGUUUGGAUGGUGAGAAGAGGUGUCAGGAAGGAGA